GGAAGGGAGUAAUGUUCCUUCAGCUUUCUACAUCUUGAGAAAUCUAAUUAAGAAAAUAUAGUUCUAUCAGCACCAUGUUUCUCACAAUUCUUAGUUUAAUUUUUUUUUUUUUUGUUACUGUUUGUUGCAUCCUUUGGAUCUUGUUUUUGAAACAUAUAUACUUACUUUUCUGUCAGUUAGAAGGUAUGAUUCUGUUUUUAAUUUAGCAAAUUUACUCUAGCUUUUUAAACAUGUACUUAAAUGAAUAUACUUUAAUUACAAAAAUCAAUAUUGAAAUAAUGAUUUCGUAUCUGCCUUCACGCAUGGAAAUUAAGAUGCCAUUUUUAAACUCGAGGGCAAUACACUGUGCUCCCGCAGCCCCAUUAGCUCGGUUCUUUCACUCAUCCCCAGCAUAAUUAAGAGAAAAGUAAUGGUAAAAAGCAGAGAGAUGUAUCCAACAUGGCUACAUUAAGAAGAGAGACAAAUGAAGGCAUUUGGGACCCCUAUCUAUCACCUAGGUGUUUUCAAUGAGGUUUAGGUUUAAUUAAAAGAGAAAUCAAGCAUAUGUUGAAUGCUUAAGUAAUCCUGGCCAAGCUAUAAUUUUUUUUUUUUUUGCUCCUCAAGACGUUCAAAGAAGUCCUUAGUCCUGUCCUUGAUGAGGGGAACAGUCUGCUUCUUUUGGGAUGAUCACUAUUGCUCCAGGCUAUAGCCUCAUCCUCUCCUGGGGAGGGGACAUCUUUCCCAUGGUGUGUUGCUGUUCCUGGUAGCUAUGUGUGUAUAUUUGAUAAAAGCAUGAAGCACACUUUUUUAAAAGAACUUCUUCUAUGCAUCCAUGAAAUAGGAGCAUCAAUAAUAUUUAGGGACUCUGACUUCAUAGAUGUAAUUCCCAUGCCAACUAUUGCUCUUCAUUAUUUUCUAGUCAGGUUAUUUUCCCCAAGAUAGGGUUUUUCUAUGUAGCCCUGGCUGUCCUAAAAUACACUCUGUAGACCAGGCUGACCUCGAACUCACAAUGUUCCAUCUGUCUCUGCCUCCUGAGUGCUGGGUGAGAUUAAAGAUGAAUGCCACCACCAGUUGCCAAACAAAAACAAAACCAAAAAAACAAAGAGUAAACAAUGUAUUAUUUGUAUUGUUUACUUGUUGAAAUUGGAAAAACAGCUCACCCUUACCUUUUGUCACAAAUAACAAAUUGAUAUUUCAGAAAUUUUUCCUAAAAAUUUUUAAAUCUAAAUUGGAAGAUAAGUGCCUGUGUGUAUGUGUGUGUGUGUGUGUGUGUGUGUGUGUGUGUGUGCACGUGCUCUUUUAUAAAUUAAGAACUAAGAAUUUCCACUUUGGAUAAUGGACUUUUAAAAUUGUAAAUUCCAUACUGCCUGUGACUCAGCCUUUUGUAGUUGUAUGUUUUCUUGACUUGCAGAAGUUUUCUCUUGGUAUUUGAAUAUUAAAUUUGUUUUUAUUGACCUAGUUUCUUCUAGAAGAUCUAAAACUCUUACAUUGCAUUUUUAAGGUCAUGUUUCCCGUUAUUUUCUUCUAUUGGUCCUUUCUUUAUAUUCUGAGAGUAUUUAAAAUACAUCUGUGUGCCUACUUCAAUAACCCGUAUGCCCUUUCCAUUCUUUAACUCUUUCUGAUGCAUUAGCCUUUCUUUUCUUUGUGCCUUCCUUUCACUUGUCUCUCCUGUCUUUACUGUCCUUUCAGCUCAUCUUCUUGAUCAGUCCCUGACACAUGUCUACCUUCUUUCUGUCAAUAUGACAAGGUCAUAUAUGUUCAUGGUAGUAUAACCAUACACUCCUUGUGCGAAUAUAAAUAUGUUCAUGGAAAUAAAGUACAUUUAGACAUGAUUGGUGGAACCACAAAGACAUUCAAGUUUGACCUGUUUAAAGACAUCAUUAGCUUAUUUUAAUGUCUUCAUCAAUACAAUUGAAUAUGGAGCUUUGGUUUAAGUAGAAAAUUUCACUCCUUUUGGGACAGCAGGGUGGAGGCAGUUUUGUUUCAAUAAACUAUGGGUGAUUUUCUUGUUUUUUUUGUCAACAAUUGAAGAAAUAAGAGCACCUUAACUUCCUCUAUGGUCCAUUUAGUUAAGCUCAGAUUUAUUUCCUUAGGUCUACAGUGUUAAAUAUCAAAUUGCUUAACAUUUCAUUACAUUUACUAUUUGUAGUAGACAUUACAUGUAGAGGAUUUUUGGAUAAAGAUUUACCAAGCUUAAUUGCUCUAUCUAUAGGGGAGGAAUGAUUUCCAUAUUUCUCUUUGUUUUGACCUUUUAUCAUGCAAUGACAAAGUCUUUAAAAACUCAUUAUCAUCCAGUCUUAUCUCCUUUCACAAUGUUGCUCUGUAUACUGCUUUGAACAGUACUUACACACAUGAAAAAGACUGACAGUAGUGUAAAGGACAAGGUAGAAGCUUUAGAUAGUAAUAAAAAUAAUUUUAUUAGAUAUUUUCUUCAUUUACAUUUCAAAUGCUAUACCCAAUGCCCCAUACCCUCCCCUCACCCUGCUCCCCAACUCACCCACUCCUGCUUCCUGGCCCUGGCAUUCCCCUGUACUGGGGCAUAUGAUCUUCACAAUUCCUCCCACUGAUGGCUGACUAGGCCAUCCUCUGCUACAUAUGCAACUAGAAACACAGCUCUGAGGAGUACUGGUUAGUUCAUAUUGUUGUUCCUCCUAUAGGGUUGUAGACCCCUUUAGCCCCUGGGGUACUUUCUCUAGCUCCUUCAUUAGGGGGUUUGUGUUCCAUCCAAUAUUUGACUGUGAGCAUUCACUUCUGUAUUUGCCAGGCACUGGCAUAGCCUCACAAUAGAGAGCUAUGUCAGGGUCCUGUCAGCAAAAAUCUUUCUGGAAUAUGCAAUAGUGUCUGGGUUUGGUGGUUGUAUAUGGGAUGGAUCCCCGGGUGGGGCAUGCCAAUCACAAUAGAACACACAUGAUAUGUACUCACUGAUAAGUGGAUAUUAGCCAAGAAACUUAGAAUACCCAAGAUACAAUUUGCAAAACACAUGAAACUCAAGAAUAAGGAAGACCAAAGUGCAGAUACUUCUUCUUAGAAUGGGGAACAAAAUACCCAUGGGAGGAGUUACAGAGACAAAGUUCGGACCUGAGACAGUAGGACAGACCAUCCAGAGACUGCGCCACUUGGGGAUAAAGAUAAUUUUUAGUUUCCAUAUAUGUUAUUGAGAUGGCUUCUGCUUCUAUCUUUCCCAGGCCAUAAAGCACAUAUAUAAUUUAAAAUUAUGAAUAAUAAGAGGUAAUAUAACAUAUACAAAGUAUAUUUCCACAUCCUUGUAAAAUAUGACCAAAUUGGAUAUGUUCAGGGUAGUAAGAACAUACAUUCUUUGUGCUAAU
rnacentral:lncRNA from 1 species